UGUAGCUCAGUAGUAGAGUGCUUGCUUAGCAUGCAUGAGACCCUAAAUUCAAUUUUCAGCA
rnacentral:tRNA from 1 species